CCCGGCUAGCAAAUUACAGUCAUUUUCUCCCGAUACCUUCGUCUUCCUUCUAGUACAUCAAAAUUUCCAUGACUGGAUAUUAGAAGCACAAAGGUGCUUGGAAGAAAGCUAUUGCACUAAACAAUGGAGCAUCAAACAGUUCAAUCAGGACUUGUGGAACAGAUUCUGAGUGAGGAAGAACAUUAGCACAACACCCACCAAAACCUCCAUGGAUGCUCACAACACUGCACUCAACAUAAGCAGCUUCAUGACUGACAUUUCAGUAUAUACGCGAACUAUAAAUUUUUUUCUGAUAUUGGAGCUUUAGCUAUUUGUUUCUUCAAUUGAUUUAUGUCUUUUAGAAAGAAAAGGAAAAGAAAAUUCUUAUGGAAAGAAAAUUUCACAUCGGUGAGCUCCUGCCUGCAGAUAGUGUUUUCUUCCUUUUUGUUUCUCAAUUUGCGUUG